rnacentral:lncRNA from 1 species
UUCAAAGUCUCAGUCCUUUGCAAACAUACGUCAACUGAUGAAUGGGCUAGCUUAUGGUUAGAUUCAUUUCCAAAGCAUCGUGUCGGAGCAAUUAAAAUAUGGGUUGACUCCAUUGGAUAUCGGUCUAUCCACGUAUGGAUUUGUCUAUAUUUGACAAAUACAAAUAUUGGUAUCCGGUGGAUACCAAUAUAUGAAUCCAUCUCGACAG